rnacentral:misc_RNA from 1 species
GAAAUGCGAUGAGUAGUGUGAAUUGCAGAAUUCAGUGAAUCAUCGAAUCUUUGAACGCACAUUGCGCCCUUUGGUAUUCCUUAGGGCAUGCCUGUUCGAGCGUCAUCUAAACCUUCAAGCCCUGCUUGGUGUUGGGUGCCUGUCCCGCCUCCGCGCGCGGACUCACCUCAAAUCCAUUGGCGGCCCCCGCGUCGGCCACGAGCGCAGCAGAAACGCGAACUCGUGAGCCCGUCCGGGCGGCUCCCAGAAGCUACACCCACCCAGUUUGACCUCGGAUCAGGUAGGGAUACCCGCUGAACUUAAGC